GAUGAACGCUGGCGGCGUGCUUAACACAUGCAAGUCGAACGGAAAGGCCCCUGCUUGCUGGGGUACUCGAGUGGCGAACGGGUGAGUAACACGUGGGUGAUCUGCCCUGCACUUCGGGAUAAGCCUGGGAAACUGGGUCUAAUACCGGAUAGGACCACAUUUUGGAUGGUGUGGUGGAAAGUUUUUCGGUGUGGGAUGAGCUCGCGGCCUAUCAGCUUGUUGGUGGGGUAAUGGCCUACCAAGGCGUCGACGGGUAGCCGGCCUGAGAGGGUGUACGGCCACAUUGGGACUGAGAUACGGCCCAGACUCCUACGGGAGGCAGCAGUGGGGAAUAUUGCACAAUGGGCGCAAGCCUGAUGCAGCGACGCCGCGUGGGGGAUGACGGCCUUCGGGUUGUAAACUCCUUUCGCUAGGGACGAAGCGCAAGUGACGGUACCUGGAGAAGAAGCACCGGCUAACUACGUG
rnacentral:rRNA from 1 species